rnacentral:ncRNA from 1 species
UUAAAGGCAAUGAAAGAGAGUAGUAAUCGAGAGCAGGAUUACAGCGAGCCGGUGGUUGGUGUGAACCGGUAUCCGACUUCGAUGAACUCGCUCUGGAGCUGUGAGGUGAACGGUAAAACCAAGUAACUGAUCCGGCUAAUUUAGCCGUUACCUAAAAGAGUGGGCCAAUUAGGCCAAAUUGGGUGGUACCACGGGAAUAACUUCUCGUCCCUUAA